rnacentral:rRNA from 1 species
UUCCUUAGAUGGUACGUACAGUUACUUGGAUAACUGUGGCAAUUCUAGAGCUAAUACAUGCAAACCGAGUUCCGACCGCUUCGCAGGCGGAAGGAACGCUUUUAUUAGAUCAAAACCAAUCGGACUCCUCCGCGGGUCCGUCACGUCUUGGUGACUCUGAAUAACUUUGAGCUGAUCGCACGGUCCCGCACCGGCGACGCAUCUUUCAAAUGUCUGACUUAUCAACUUUCGAUGGUAGGCUCUGCGCCUACCAUGGUCGUAACGGGUAACGGGGAAUCAGGGUUCGAUUCCGGAGAGGGAGCCUGAGAAACGGCUACCACAUCCAAGGAAGGCAGCAGGCGCGCAAAUUACCCACUCCCGGCACGGGGAGGUAGUGACGAAAAAUAACGAUGCAGAACUCUUUCCGAGGCUCUGCAAUCGGAAUGAGUACACUCUAAAUCAUUUAACGAGUAUCCAUUGGAGG